AUACUGCAUUGUUUGUAGGUCUGCAUACAAAUGGAUGUAACUGAUGACCUUGAUUUAACUCAUUCAUCUGACACAACAUCGGAGGAUGUCAAACUACCAGCGUCCACCUAGAGAGAGGCUGUGUUGCUCUUAGAGCAGCUUACUGUGGAUCAUACAGGUUCUGCUAUUUUACUGAAAAUUCAAGACAUGCUUCUUAAAUAUGAACACAUAAUAGAGCAUGAAAAAGAUCAGUAUGCAGCGGUCUCGAGAGAAGUCAGAACGUUGGAAAUGAAAAGGAAAAAUGAAAAUUAAUAGCAGAAUAGACUCAAGAUUUGAAAUCCGUAUUGGCUCAUCAAGAAGUGGAAUGGAAGAGUGAUAUCCAAAGCCUUAAGUAGAAGAUGAGCGUGGUGAAACACAGAGACACCUCUCUCAGGAAAAGAGUGCCAGAGCCCUGCAAGAAGGCAUUUUGAACAAUCACCUUUGGAGACAAAAGGAACUAGAAGAAGAGACAAGAAGAACUAUAGGAAGAAGUUCAGAUGAAUCCGACACUGAGAGAAAAAAGGAUCUGUUGUACAAAAAUCAGUUCCUGCAAGAUGAGAUUGCCAUGCUAAGACUAGAACUUGAUCAA